rnacentral:lncRNA from 1 species
CUUUUGGAGAAAGCCAAAACUCACUUUUCUCUACUUAGUAGCUCUAUGUCUUGGGCUUCACUUCUUUGAGAAUUUAUUUACUAUUUAUUAUUUAUUUAAUACAUUUAAUUUUAAUUAAUUUAAUAAAUAAUUAAUUUACUUAUUAUCCGGGGCUGAACCAAUGUUGCUUAACUACUGAACAAUAUUUCCAGCCUGUUUUAAUUUUUUUUUUUUAAUUUUAAGUUUUGAGACAGGGUCUUGUCAAGUUGCUUAGGGCAUUGGUAAGUUACUGGGGCUGUUUUUGAACUUGUGAUCCUCCUGUCUCAGCCUCCCAAGCUGCUGGGAUUACAGGUGUGCACCACAGGGCCUGCAAGAGUCUAGUUGAUUUAAAUGUAAAAUAAGGAUAAGAAUGCUACUUUAAAAGACUAUUACAAAAAUUUAAAAUAAUAUAUGUUCAACACAAUAUCCUUCUGAGUGAAUAUUCUUCUGGUGUUUUAGAAAGAGGACACAGGGAGAAGCACUGAGUGGUUUUUCUCUCUAGUAGCAGCCUGUGGGAACACAGGAAUUACUGUAACUAUAAUUAGGCAGUUUCUUUCUGAAUUUCUUCCACUCUUGCGUUGGCAGAAUCCAGCCUCCUCUGGACUCCAUACCCUUUCUAGAAAUCACCAGCAGGUUCCUAGAGUCACAUGUGAACUCAUAAGAGUCCCUAUAAAACUCCCUGGGAGCCCUGAGAGCAGGUCUACUUAGCCUGGCUUCCCCAGCAUUGAUAACCAUGCCUGAAACACUUCAGACAGGUGAUACCUGUUCAUUCAAAGCAUAGAUGUGUUCCGGAGCUAUUCCAAAAUCUCAAAUAAAAGCCUGGGUCUUUUUGAAGCAAAGACCUUUGUCUUUUAUUUGUUUAUUCUGGCCUUUGCCAAAGGCAGAAAGCAGACGUUCUGCAGCCAAGACACUGAAUGCAGGUGGGGGGCCACUUAAAAACAGAAAAAAACACAAAGGAGGAGGGAGGGAGAGGCAAGUACAAUCAUAAGACACAUUUCUCAGAAAUUUGCACCUUUUGUACAUACUCAGGAAGUAAGCUAGCAUUUGCUCCAUAGUUUAAAGAUAUUGUGUUUAGGGUGCAAAUAGGUGAAGGUGGAAAUGUCAUCUAUAUGUUGAGUGGGCUCAUGUAGAAAGGGGGGCCAGUUCUGCACAGGGUGAGAUGUCUGAGCAGAAUGGGAUCAACCUGACUUAACAUUCAAAUCAGCCCAAAACAGAUGAAUAAGCAAAGCCCCAUUAUCUUCUGUACCCACCAGUUAAGUCUCCCAAGUCCCAGGCCACAGUUUUCUAUUGCCCAUGCAGCUUCUAGGCCUCUAAAUGUUCAUGCCUGUUCCUUGGUCCUGUAUUCUGCAUGGCUGUUCUCAACCAUGGUCUCCACCUGGUUCCUUGACUCCAGGUAUUUUAAAGUUAACUUUGUAGCAAGAUGGGGAGGACUUCAUUACAAUAGUUAUCCUUAUUAUCUAUUUUCAUAUCCCAUUCUACUUUUUUAUGAAUGACAUCUGAUAU